UACGAAGGGGGCUAGCGUUGCUCGGAAUCACUGGGCGUAAAGCGCACGUAGGCGGCUUCUCAAGUCAGGGGGUGAAAUCCUGGAGCUCAACUCCAGAACUGCCUUUGAUACUGAGGGGCUCGAGUCCGGGAGAGGUGAGUGGAACUGCGAGUGUAGAGGUGAAAUUCGUAGAUAUUCGCAAGAACACCAGUGGCGAAGGCGGCUCACUGGCCCGGAAACUGACGCUGAGGCACGAAAGCGUGGGGAGCAAACA
rnacentral:rRNA from 1 species